AUGACACCAGUGCUGGCUUUGCUCAUCCUUAUGGCAGCUCCACCUGGUAUCCUGGCCCAGAUCACGCUGAAGGAGUCUGGCCGAGGGGUCAUGAAGCCCGGAGAGACCCUCAGCCUGACCUGCACCGUGUCUGGAUUCUCUCUCACUAGCUAUCAUAUAAGCUGGGUUCAGCAGGAAGCAGGGAAAGGGCUGGAGUGGGUUGGAAUAAUCUGGAGUGGUGGAAGUACUGAGUAUAACAGCGCUCUCCAAAGCCGCCUCACCAUCAGCAGAGACACGUCCAGCAGCCAAGUUUACUUGCGCCUGACCGGGGUGCAACCUGUAGACACGGCCCAGUAUUACUGUGUCAGAUACACAGUGAAUGAAAAUGCAUGA